rnacentral:rRNA from 1 species
GUAGCCCGCGUGUAGCCCGGAGAAUUCGGGGCAUACUGACCUACCGUCGCCCGCUCCUUCCUCCUCUUUAGCAGAGGCGGUCCCCAUAGUGUACCCAGCCUGCCGGAGCAGCCGCUGGCAACUGUGGGUACGGGUCUCGCUCGUUGCCUGACUUAACAGGACGCCUCACGGUACAAACUGACGGCGGCCAUGCACCUCCUCUCAGCUAUUCUAGCAAGGUCAUCAGCCUGGCCCUCAUCCCGCUGUCGUCUCCGGUGAGCUU